GUACUAUGUAUCCCGUAUGUUUUCUAAAUGAAGGAGUGCAUGUCUUAGGUGUGGCUAAAUUCAAGCCAGAUUUUAUGGUACAAUAAAAAUGAUAAAACACUUUGGGGUCCAAUGCUCUGGCAGCAAAGGGUCAAGGGCAGGCAACUUAUCUGCGCAAAUACCUUCUCUACUAUUUAGAUAUUCCCCCACCUCUGCCUCCUGUGUCCAUAUGGUGACUCUAUUUUACAAAAAGCCAAAAAUCACAUGAUCUGACACAUGGUCUUAGCAGGGAAUAGAAUCUAUGAAAUUAUAACUGUCCCAGAAAAUCCAGCCCAUCUGGUAGGUGCUUUUUUUUUUAUUAAGAUAUAAUUUACAUACCAUAAAAGUCACCCUUUUAAAGUGUACAACUGUACAAUUCAGUGGUUUUUAGUAUAUUCAUAGAGUUGUGCAACCAUCAUGACUAUCUAAUUUCAGAACAUUUUCAUCACCCUAAAAAGAAAACCUUUGACCCAUUAGCAGUCAUUCCCUAUUCUCAUUCCCUCCCAGCCCCUGGCAGCCAUGAAUUUACUUUCUGUCUAUAGAUUUGCCUUUCCUGGACAUUUCCUAUAAAUAGAAUCAUGAAAUAUGUGGCCUUUUGUGUCUGGCUUUUUUCACUGAUACUUUCUUUAGGGCUUCAUGUUGUAGCAUGUAUCAGUACUUCAUUUCUUUUUAUUGACAAAUAGUAUUCCAUUGUAUGGAUAUACCAUAUUUUGUUUCUCCAUUUAUCAGCUGAUGGGCAUUUGGGUUGGUUCCACUCUUUGGCUGUUGUGAAUGCAACUAUAGAUGCUUUUAACACUGACCUACAAGGGAUGGGGUUGUGGUUAAUGAAACCAACAAAAAGGGCCUUUCCUUAUUGGACUUGUUGCCUAAGAGCAGUUUGGGAACAGGCUUUAAAGAGAGAGACCCAGAAAGGAAGGGAUGAUUGGAAGGCAAUAGAAGCUGUCUAUUUGGGUGACAUCAUCACUGGAGAGCAGGCUGCCCUGGCAGAAAAGACGAAGGAUAUACCAGUCCCAGUCUGACUUACCUCCAGAAGUGAUAGAAAAGUAGAGGGACAUUCAGCCCCAGCGUGAGCCACUCUUGCGCACACAGGAACAUAAUGCAGAAGAGGCUAUGGAUGGAGUAUUCUGGCAGCACCAGCUGAAGAGGGAGCAGAGACACGGCCCUGAGUUAGAGGAGGAAAACGCCACUCCUGCUUCUAUGGCAGCUGACUUCUGCCUGGACACUGCCUCUCACAGACGGUUGACACAAAGGCCCUCCCUGCAGCAACGUAGAGCCACUGCCCCAACACAGAUCCAUUUCUGAUACGCAUCAAGAGCCUACUAUGAGGUGUCAAACACUGUGGCAGGCACUGGAGGUGCCAGGAUGAGUUCAAUGAGCCUGGUGACAAUGUUCCAGGCACCCCCAGGCUGAUGGGAGAGACCGACAGCUGAACACUGGACCAUGCCGCAGCCAGCACUCACACACUGAGGAGAUGCAAUUUUAAAGACACUCAUCUAUGGAGUGCCCCAAAUGCACUAGGACUGCACAGGCUGUGUGGGGAACUCAAGGUUGAAAAAGAUAUAUCCUUGGCCCUCAGGAAGACUACAGCCAGUGUAAAGGGGACCAUAACGAUGUCUACAUCCCAGGGCUGUCGCGAGUGAGAUCAUCCAACCAAGCACUUUGUACAACGUCUGGCAUAUUAUACCACAUAUAAUACCUUAAUAAAUGUUGUUAUAGAAAAAAAC
rnacentral:lncRNA from 1 species